rnacentral:rRNA from 1 species
AAACUAACAAGGAUUCCCCUAGUAACGGCGAGUGAAGAGGGAAGAGCCCAAGAUUGAAAGCUGGCGUCUUCGGCGUCCGCAUUGUAAUCUCAAGAAGUGUUUUCCGCUUCGGACCAUGCCUAAGUCCCUUGGAAAAGGGCAUCAUAGAGGGUGAUAAUCCCGUACAUGGCAUGGAGCGCCCGAAGCUUUGUGAUACGCUUUCUAAGAGUCGAGUUGUUUGGGAAUGCAGCUCAAAAUGGGUGGUAAAUGCCAUCUAAGGCUAAAUAUUGGGGAGAGACCGAUAGCGAACAAGUACAGUGAUGGAAAGAUGAAAAGAACUUUGAAAAGAGAGUUAAACAGUACGUGAAAUUGCCAAAAGGGAAGGGUAGGAGGUCAGAGAUGCGGCCUGGGAUUCAGCCUUGCUUUUGCUUGGUGUUUUUCCCAGAUUGCAGGCCAACGUCGGUUUUGGGCACUGGAGAAGGGUAGGAGGAACGUGGCACCUCUCGGGGUGUGUUAUAGCCUCCUACUGGAUACAGCGACCGAGACCGAGGACAGCAGCGUACUCGCAAGAGCGGGCCUUCGGGCACCUUUACGCUUAGGGCGUUGGCAUAAUGGCCCUCUACCACCCGUCUUAAAAACCCGGAA